rnacentral:rRNA from 1 species
GAUGAACGCUGGCGGCGUGCCUAAUACAUGCAAGUCGAGCGAACGCACGAGAAGAUUUCUUCUCUGCUGCUAGCGGCGGACGGGUGAGUAACACGUGGAUAACCUACCUAUAAGACUGGGAUAACUUCGGGGAAACGCAGCUAAUACUGGAUAAUAUUUUGAACCGCAUGGUUCAAAAGUAAUAGACGGUCUUGCUGUCACUUAUAGAUGGAUCCGCGGUGCAUUAGCUAGUUGGUAAGGUAACGGCUUACCAAGGCAACGAAGCAUAGCCGACCUGAGAGGGUGGACCGCCACACUUGAACUUAGACACGGUCCAGACUCCUACGGGAAGCAGCAGUAGGGAAUCUUCCGCAAUGGGCGAAAGCCUGACGGAACAACGCCGCGUGAGUGAUGGAGGUCUUCGGAGCGUAAAACUCUGUUAGUAGGGAAGAACAUAUGUGUAAGUAACUGUGCACAUCUUUACGGUACCUAAACAGAAAGCCACGGCUAACUACGGGC